UGGGGAAUUUUGGACAAUGGGGGCAACCCUGAUCCAGCCAUGCCGCGUGAGUGAAGAAGGCCUUCGGGUUGUAAAGCUCUUUCGGCGGGGAAGAAAUGGCAACGGCUAAUAUCCGUUGUUGAUGACGGUACCCGCAUAAGAAGCACCGGCUAA
rnacentral:rRNA from 1 species